UACAGAGACUGCAAGCGUUAUUCGGAUUCACUGGGCGUAAAGGGUGCGCAGGCGGUUGUGUGUGUCAGGUGUGAAAUCUCGGGGCUUAACUCCGAAACUGCGCCUGAAACUACACAACUAGAGUAUUGGAGAGGGUAGCAGAAUUCAUGGUGUAGCAGUGAAAUGCGUAGAUAUCAUGAGGAAUACCAGAGGCGAAGGCGGCUACCUGGACAAUUACUGACGCUCAGGCACGAAAGCGUGGGGAGCAAAA
rnacentral:rRNA from 1 species